rnacentral:rRNA from 1 species
CGGGGGCAGCAAUCCCAUAAACCGUGGCUCAGUUCAGAUCGUAGGCUGCAACUCGCCUACGUGAAGAAGGAAUCGCUAGUAAUCGCAGGUCAGCAUACUGCGGUGAAUACGUUCCCGGGCCUUGUACACACCGCCCGUCACACCAUGGAAGUUGGCCACGCCCGAAGUCGUUACUCCAACCCUUGUGGAGGAGGACGCCGAAGGUGGGGCUGAUGACUGGGGUGAAGUCGUAACAAGGUAGCCGUACCGGAAGGUGCGGCUGGAUCACCUCCUAA